rnacentral:rRNA from 1 species
AUUGAACGCUGGCGGCAGGCCUAACACAUGCAAGUAGAGCGAGCGGCGGACGGGUGAGUAAUGUCGGGGAAACUGCCUGAUGGAGGGGGAUAACUACUGGAAACGGUAGCUAAUACCGCAUACCAUCAAAUGUGCCCAGAUUGGAUUAGCUAGUAGGUGGGGUAACGGCUCACCUAGGCGACGAUCCCUAGCUGGGCUGAGAGAAUGACCAGCGCCACUGGCACUGAGACACGGUCCAUCCUCCUACGGGUGUAAUCAGUGGGGAAUCUGGCACAAUGGGCGCAAGAGUGAUGCCGCCAUGCCGCGUGUGUGAAGGAGGCCUUCGGGUUGUAAAGCACUUUCAGCGGGGAGGCGUUACCCGCAGAAGAAGCACCGGCUAACUCCGUGCCAGCAGCCGCGGUAAUAC